AUUUCUGAAACAGAUGUCUUAAAUUAUUUAGUUACGUUAAAAAAUUAUUUAGUUACGUUUAAAUAUGGCCCUGAUAUGAUUCCCUCAAGCUUUCUUAAAAAUUGUGCAAAAUAUAUAUAUCUGCCCUUAACCAAGCUUUUUAACCUAUCUCUUAAACAAGGUAUUUUUCCGUCAAUGUGGAAAAACUCUUUUAUAUUACCUUUGCAUAAAAGUGGAGUUAGAUCAUCUGUUGAGAACUAUAGGGGGAUAGCAAAAAUGUCAGCUGUACCCAAACUUUUUGAAGCUAUUGUCACUGACCAAAUAACUUUCUUAAUCUCUCCUUUAAUUUCAUUUUCUCAGCAUGGAUUUUGUAAAGGGAAAUCUACAGUAACAAACUUGCUUGAAUUUGUAAACCAUGUUUCAAUGGGUUUUAGGGAUAAUAAGAAUACAGAUGUUAUAUAUACAGACUUUAGUAAAGCAUUCGAUAGAGUAAACCACUCAAUUCUUUUGCAAAAACUGGAUCUUCUUGGUUUUCAACCAAGACUUCUUGAAUGGGUAUCCUCAUAUCUUACUAACAGAAAAAAACAAGUUUUAUUUAAUAAUACAUUAUUCAGGGGUUCCACAGGGUAGUCAUCUCGGCCCGAUUCUGUUCUUGUUGUUCAUCAAUGAUAUACCUUCUGUAAUUAAGUUUUCAGAAAUUUUAUUAUAUGCGGAUGAUGUAAAACUUUUUAAAUCAUAUACUUCUCAUAACGAAAGGACUGAGUUGCAAUCGGAUUUAAAUAAUUUAGUUACUUGGUGUCACAAAAAUGAUAUGCCACUGAAUCUUAAAAAAUGUAAAACGAUGUGCUUUUCCCGUAGAACUGUUGAUCUUUCUUCCUAUGUAGUAAAUAACUUCCGUUUAGAGCAAGUUUUUAGCUUUGUUGAUUUAGGAGUUACUAUGGACCCUAAACUAAAUUUUAAUUCUCAUGUAAAUUCAAUUGUCUUAAAAGCUAAAGGUGCUCUUAGCUUUGUUAAACGUUGGUCUAAAGAAUUUAGUGAUCCAUAUAUUACUAAAAUUCUUUUUACAACAUUGGUAAGGCCUAUAUUGGAGUAUGGUUCUGUGGUAUGGAAUCCUAGCUAUCAAUCCCAUUGUGAUAAGCUUGAGUCCGUUCAAAAACAAUUUUUACUUUUUGCCACUUACAUUGGGAUUCAAGAUUGAAUCUUCCCCCGUAUACUCGUUGUUUAAAACUUAUAAAUCUUCCCACACUCACUAGUCGCAGAGAAAUGCUAGGUAUAAUAUUCCUAGUAAAACUUCUGAAUGGUUUAGUUUGUAGUUCAUUCCUUUUGUCUGAUAUUAAGUUUAGUGUCCCAUUGCGUUCAUCCAGGCAGUUUAGACCAUUAUUUCUAAAAUCUUCUAGAACAAAUUUUGAGUUAAAUGAACCAUUCCGCCGAAUAUGUCAUGAUUUUAAUUCACAUUCCAGCACAUUUGAUCCAUCUGACUCAAUAUUUAGCAUCAAAAAAACUAUUUUGCCUUCUCUUAAUCUAUACUAAUAUUAUAAAGCUGAAGAGUUUGUUUGUUUGUUUGUUUGUUUGAACGCGCUAAUCUCCGAAACUACUGGUUCGAAUUGAAUAAUUCUUUUUGUGUUGGAUAGUCCAUUUAUCGAGGAAGGCUAUAGGCUAUAUAGCAUCAGGAGCGAAGAAACAGUGGUAAAUGUGUAAAAAACGGGGGAAAUUAUUUAUCUUUGAGGGCUUCCGUUCCUUGCGCUGCGAAAGCGGUUCAAGAUUAGAUACGCUAAGGAUCGAGAAUGGUUGGACCAUUCUUGAUGAAAUGUUCAGAGGUUGUUCGUUGUGGAUCUUGGAAGGUUUAGUCGGAAAAUUGUAAAAUUCCAAAAAGUGACUAUUUUCCAUACAUUUUUUUUCCAAUCUAUCUAUAAAAAAACAAUUCGGAAAAGUCGGAAAUUGGCAAGUGGCAACAGAGAAUUCAGAAUUCAAAUGAACGGUGACAUCUACAAUGAAGCAUUGAAAUUCAUAUGCCAUCACCAAAUCGUCAAAUUAAAGAUGUACUGAAUCGUGCAUACGACAGAAUAACUUUGGAACAAGUAUAAAGAAAUGUUCCAUUAUUUAAUGAGCAGCAAAAGACAACCUAUGAUGAAUUGAUUAAGGCUGUCCAUGAUGGAAAUGGUGGACUUUUAUUUCUUGAUACGCACGGUGGAACUGGGAAUCCUGAUUGAUUCUGAUAUCAUUGAUUUUGGCAACAAUACGAUCUCAAAAUGGCAUUACGUUGGCUCUCGCAUCUACUGGAAUUGCAGCAACGCUACUUGAAGUUGGAAGAACGGCACAUUCGACAUUGUAGCUUCAGUUAAACAUGCAAAUCUAUGAAACAUCUAUGAGCAAGCAAAGAUCUGGGCAAAUUCUGGUUAAUACUUUAAAUGGUUUGAAAUCAAUCCGAACAUUAGCCAAAUAACUAUAAGUAACUACGAUUGGUUGAGUGCACGCAGAUUUUUAAAUGCCAAAAAUACCGAUGUCGAUGAUUUAAUCUAUACGACUUAAAGUCAACUUCCAGGAGAUUUGUGUUCAUACACAUCGAUCGAUCAUGUUGAAAAUGAAGACGAAGCUGUGAAUUAUCCAGUGAAAUUUCUAAAUUCUUUGUCAUUAUAAUGCUUUGUCAUUUAUUAUGCUUCGCAAUCUUCAAGCAGCUAUCGAAUAAUGUAAUAGUUGCAAGAAUUAAAGUUAAAGGGACUUUCAAGGGGGCAGAAUGCUUGAUUCCACGAAUUUCUUUGAGUUCCAACGAUUUGCCAUUUCAGUUCAAACGUAUUCAGUUUCCUACGAAACUUGCAUUUGGGAUGACAAUCAACAGGUCUCAAAGACAGUCGCUGGAGGUGUGUGGCAUAAAUUUCAUUCACGGGUUGAAAAACCAUCUUCUCUGUACAUUUACGCACCGGAACAGAAACAAAAAAUGUUGUAUAUUAAGCUGAGUUACAUUGUAAAAAAAAUUUAGAAAAAUCGCAAAUAAAUGUUUUCCAACACUAUACAAAUUCAACUUUCAAAACAAAUAAUUUCACGCAGUGCAACGACAGCGGAGUCAACUACUGAGCAGUUUGUGAACCGGAUGCUUAAAAAUCUCUUGCCUUUCUAGACUCGGCAAAUUCCGCUCGUAAGCGGACUGCGCCCCACGCGUCGGUUGGGCGGGAGGAGGGUAAUCGUUUGGGUUAAUAAUAAUAAUGGAACACAAAUCAUUUACACACCAGAUAUUAAGUUUAAUGUCACUUUUUUACGUGCAAUUAAACCUUUUGGUCAACACAAGCACGGGAAUUGGAACGACAUGGUUUAGGUGCCUUUGAAACCGUUUAUUAUCACGACGUGUGUCAACUGGGUUUUGCCAAUGAGCUAGAGGACAAAGCAGUUUCAGUAUUUUUGGGCUUAUCGGCACUUGGCCGUGCCAUUAGCAGCUACAACACAGAAAUUAAAGUAUAAAUUUAAGUGAAUGUUUGUGCUCAUUGUGCUCGUUGUUGUAUCGCUUUACAAGGACAUAAAUUCACCAAAAUUAGUUCAAUGGAAAUACUAGAGCAAGAGCAUGGAUGUUAAGACUUUAACGGUGCCGUGCAAGAUUUAGAAUUCCUGAAACAUAAGAAACCCUCCUCCCAGAUGAAUCUAGUACUAGUGAAAUUAAUGAAAGGACAGAUCUUAUAAAAACUCCUAAAGAAACCAAAAGAGUCCUCACAUAAUGUGCGCAGCUUACACUUCCAGCCCGCACGGGGUAUCUGACAUUGCGAUAGCAAAAAUUGUUCAACUAUUCAAUUCUUUAUACAUAUGUAUGGUACGAUAAUAUAUGUAUAAAGUAAAUAUAAUAAUAAACACCUAAAUGGCAUGAUAUUUUCAAUAAAUAUGUAAUAUAAUUAAUGAUUUUGUUAUUAAAUUCUCAUUUGGAUUUUGGUACAACUAACCGAAAAUAUCGGGUAUAGUUUCUGGG